rnacentral:rRNA from 1 species
CAGUCGCCGCGGUAACACGUAGGGUGCAAGCGUUGUCCGGAAUUAUUGGGCGUAAAGAGCUCGUAGGCGGUUUGUCGCGUCUGCUGUGAAAACCCGAGGCUCAACCUCGGGCCUGCAGUGGGUACGGGCAGACUAGAGUGCGGUAGGGGAGAUUGGAAUUCCUGGUGUAGCGGUGGAAUGCGCAGAUAUCAGGAGGAACACCGAUGGCGAAGGCAGAUCUCUGGGCCGUAACUGACGCUGAGGAGCGAAAGCAUGGGGAGCGAACAGGAUUAGAUACCCCGGUAGUCCCUGUCUCUUAUAC